rnacentral:misc_RNA from 1 species
AAGUCGUAACAAGGUUUCCGUAGGUGAACCUGCGGAAGGAUCAUUACCAAAUCCAAAAAAAACUUUCUAUCAACACCCCAAUGUGAACUGAGAAUGGUUUCGUCCCUCCGAAUUCUUCUCUUCUUCGGAAGAAAGGGAGGAGGAGGGAUGUUCAAACACAUUUUUUUUUCAACCCCUUUUCAACCAUUAAAAACCCAUUUUUUUAAUGCUGAAAGCAAAACAAAAAAUACGAAACAUGAGACAACUUUUAACGGUGGAUCUCUUGGCUCGU